ACUCCUACGGGAGGCAGCAGUGGGGAAUAUUGCACAAUGGGCGCAAGCCUGAUGCAGCCAUGCCGCGUGUGUGAAGAAGGCCUUCGGGUUGUAAAGCACUUUCAGUCGUGAGGAAGGUAGUGUAGUUAAUAGCUGCAUUAUUUGACGUUAGCGACAGAAGAAGCACCGGCUAACUCCGUGCCAGCAGCCGCGGUAAUACGGAGGGUGCGAGCGUUAAUCGGAAUUACUGGGCGUAAAGCGCAUGCAGGUGGUUUGUUAAGUCAGAUGUGAAAGCCCGGGGCUCAACCUCGGAAUAGCAUUUGAAACUGGCAGACUAGAGUACUGUAGAGGGGGUAGAAUUUCAGGUGUAGCGGUGAAAUGCGUAGAGAUCUGAAGGAAUACCGGUGGCGAAGGCGGCCCCUGGACAGAUACUGACACUCAGAUGCGAAAGCGUGGGAGCAAACAGGAUUAGAUACCCCUGGUAGACUGUCA
rnacentral:rRNA from 1 species